AUACAAAAAUAACAAAAUUCUGUCUUAGAGAUGCAAAUUGUACCCACAGGUCUAAGCACAGUCACGACUCGAGGAGUGGUGUCACUUUGGUCCAGAUUUAAUUUGUUCAAAGCAUCACUGCUAAAAAUUAUGUUUGCUUCUUUUAUGGCUAAACGUAUCCCACACAAAUCUGCUACCAGUCUGAACUAUAAUCCACUAGCUUACUGCUAAUAUACAAAUAUGCUAACAUGAUAAAUGUUACAUUACCACAGGAACAUUUUAGCAUGCACUGUUGUGCUUAUGUUGUGCCUAUGCCACAAGCAUGACUGUAGAUUAUUUGCUUUGUUCAUUAAACUUUUUGUCUGUCUAUAAAAAAUGAAACUCUGAUCUGGCUCCCGAUUCCAGUAUUUGGUUUUUAACACUCUCUUGGUGCUGACGCCUUUCAGUCAGUGCUGCAAAGGUAUUGAAGGUUACUCUGCCGUACACUGACUGUUUUCAGAGUCUUGACUUUGUAGUUCAGCUCAUUCAGAUUUUGCUUUAGUUUCUUAAAACGCUGAACAACUGAAGGCAGUACUGCUUUUCUACAGGAAGUUAAGGGAAAGGAGGAGGAGGAGGCAGUGGUGGGUACCCUGAGCAUGCUCAGUAAUGACUUGGGCCUCGAAUGAAGCCCUGCUGACCUUGAGGGUGUCGUAUCGAUCGAUCGGCAGUAAGGCGCUGUGUGUGCAUGUGAGAGAAAGAGGGAGAGAAAGAUGGAGGCGUGCAACUCCACCAAACAAGGAGAAAACUGAAACCUGCACUAACGAUGAAUCAUUGAUAAGUGGACAAGAGAAGACUUUUCUUUUCAUCUCUUUCUUUCUGCCAAUAUUUCCUUAUUCUCUUUGCCCCGCUCUGGGCUAGUUUUUAAUGUCUCUCCCUCUUUCUCACCUCCUUGCUGACUCUGUUUUUCUCAGUCUGACUUUGUGUCAAAUGUCAGUUUUAACAUUCACUCUGUCUUUGCUUCUCCACCUGUCUCACACUUUCCGCAUGUCAUAUUUACUUUUUUUUUUUAACUUUUAAUCAAUCAUUUUCCUCCCCUGUCUUGACAUUUCUGCCUCGCUCUUACCACAUAACAGUCGUUUGUGUUGUACUUUUCUUCCUACAUGCCCACUUACACGUAACUAGGUUCGUCCCUCUUUCAGAGCUCUGCAUUUCGUUUUGGGUGGUUGUUAUGUAUAAUUUGGUGAAAACUGUUAGGCUUUCAAUUGGCCUAUUUAAGCCAGUGUGUUCCUGUUCUACCUCUAAUUUUCAGGGUCUGAAUCUUGUGGUAAAGUAGGACUCAUCCACAAUACAGCUCUAAACUUUAUUCCAAGAGAUGCAGCCUCGGUAUUGUGGAACCAGACACAGACGAGGUGGCAGACCACACAAUUAGUCUCCAAAAACCUUGUUUGCUUUCUCUCUGGGGCUGUAUCGAUCAGGCAGGUUUAGUCUUAUUUGGGAGCAGGUUAGAUCCUAAAUGAUACUGACAAGUACCAUGGAAACUCAAAUGGUGGGAGAAAUUCCACAGUUUAGUGUCUCUGUCUUAAAUCCAAAGAGCUACCUGAUCGUGUAACUCUUAACAGGCUAAUCAGUUGUGUUGUCUCUGAUCUUACUGACUCUGUGGACAUGCUUUCAUCCAUAAACAAUGGUACUGUUACUCUGAAUAGCAUACCCUAAAUGUUGUUAUUGUUUAAUUUAAAGUUAUAGAGGUAAGAUUAAAUGGGACAUACAGUAAUUUCCAUGUAGACUCUUUUUUUUUGUAUUUUUUUAAUGUUUCACGUUUACGAAGAGAUUAAACUGGACUAAACUCAAUGCAUUUUCAACCUUAAUAAUUUAAACAAUAAGCAAAAUAUGCUUUUACUCAUACUGUGUCUUUAGAGGGGGUUUUAAAAAGCAUUUAUACUCAUAUACUAAUUGAUACUAAAAAUUAUAAUUGCUCAUUUUUAUACUCAUUUAUAACAAAAUGAGUACAAAAGUACCGUCUUCACCUCUUCCGGUGACACAUAGCUUCAUACAGCAUUGCUGCAGACAAGGAGGCACACUCACCUCGCUAGCAGCUGAAGUAGCUGACCUUCACAACAGUGAAAAAACUCUAACACAAUAUUCCAGCUGGACCUGCGGGUGCAGGACUCUGACUAGACUCUGAAGUAGAAGGCCCUGAGGCAGAGCUAACAAGCUCAGAUACCACAACUCAAGAUUAGAGCAAGAAGUCUUACCUUUGAUGCCAAACUUGGAGUUUCCUCCAAACUUGAGAAUAACCAGCAUUAGAAGGAAACCAGUGAAGGCUACAGCAGCGAUGCCCAC